rnacentral:rRNA from 1 species
CCUACGGGGUGCAGCAGUGGGGAAUAUUGGACAAUGGGCGAAAGCCUGAUCCAGCCAUGCCGCGUGUGUGAAGAAGGCCUUCGGGUUGUAAAGCACUUUCAGUGGGGAAGAAAGCCUUGGGGCUAAUACCCUCGAGGAAGGACAUCACCCACAGAAGAAGCACCGGCUCAACUCCGUGCCAGCAGCCGCGGUAAUACGGAGGGUGCGAGCGUUAAUCGGAAUUACUGGGCGUAAAGCGCGCGUAGGCGGUCUGAUAAGCCGGUUGUGAAAGCCCCGGGCUCAACCUGGGAACGGCAUCCGGAACUGUCAGGCUAGAGUGCAGGAGAGGAAGGUAGAAUUCCCGGUGUAGCGGUGAAAUGCGUAGAGAUCGGGAGGAAUACCAGUGGCGAAGGCGGCCUUCUGGACUGACACUGACGCUGAGGUGCGAAAGCGUGGGUAGCAAACAGGAUUAGAUACCCUGGUAGUC